rnacentral:tRNA from 1 species
GCCCGCCUAGCUCAACUGGCAGAGCACUUCACUUGUAAUGAAGAGCGUCUCGGUUCGAAUCCGAGGGCGGGCU